CCGCCCCUCAGUCUGCUCUUCACACGGAUACCACGAAUGCCACGGUGGCCUCCUGAAGACGGAGUCUGGUCUCACAUUCCUCCAGCUUCCUAUUUCCGGCUUUGCCCUUUGGAGCCUGAGGAGCAAGGGUAGAAUGAGGAUCGUGAGGUUCUUCAGAGGCAGUUACUCACGAGGUCACAGCGCAGAAACGGCAAGAAAUGUCAGGACAACUAUGGAUGUGAAGGAUGGGAGAGGGGCCUCCUUCCGCAUGAGGUCCCCAGAGUUCUAAAGGCUACUUCAGCAGGUUCAGAAUUCCAAGGAAACCUACUUUCAACAGUGUGAGACCUGUGCCUCAGUCAGCCGGGUGUGGAGUGGCCAGGUCGCACAUCAGCUGCAGGCACAGCCAGUUCAUGGGUAGACAGCCACAUCCUGCCCCAGGAGGAGGGCAGCCAGCAUGGGCGAUGCAAGCUCCCCUCGUCUGGAACCAGCACAACCUCAGGCACUCGAGCCUUGGCCCCUCACAAGCAACGUCCUCAAUGGGUGGCGUUCGUUCAUCUUGGAGGCAUAGCUGGGACCCCAGGGACAGGAGCUGCCCGGCUGGCUCCACCCCGGAACACAGGACCUGCCUCCAAGCUCCUUCGAGGUUGGGAUCUGUGAGCAAACAUAAAAACCGAUCAUCACAAUAAUUGCCACAUCACAGAAGACUGUUGCAUCCAUGAAUGCCUUUAAUCCCCAGUCCGCUGGCCACGAAGCGGAUUAGGAGAGAGAGGUUUAGUCCCAGACCUGCCUCAUUAAAAACAUCUCCUUUCUACCAUGAGGACUUUCACCUGUACAUGCAAGAGGUUAUUAUAUACAGAUUAAGAAUUAACACAGU
rnacentral:lncRNA from 10 species